rnacentral:RNase_P_RNA from 1 species
AGGGUGAAUGCUGCUAUUUAGUUAGUAGAGGAAAGUCCAUGCUCAUCUUGGCUGCGAUGCCAAGAGUUCGUGUGCUUAAGGAAAAAAUAACUUAAGGUAGGAAGGAGUUCCUAACGGCAGACCCUUUUUCUAAAGCUUCGGCUAUGAAAAAGACUAUAAAGCUCCACAGAGACGAGAUUUCUGGAAACGGAAAUUAUGAAACGAGGAAAGCCCCUCAUAUGAGAAACCUAAAUUUGGUAAGGGAGAUCGGAGUCGGGAAUCAAACUGACAACGGUAAGCAUUUGCUUAGAUAAAUUUUCACCCACGACAAAACAUGGCUUACAU